UUGGGGGUGGCUCAGCGGUAGAGUGCUCGCCUCACAUGUGCGAGGUGCUGGGUUCGAUCCUGAGCACCUCAAA
rnacentral:tRNA from 1 species